GAUGAACGCUGGCGGCGUGCCUAAUACAUGCAAGUCGAGCGAACGGACGAGAAGCUUGCUUCUCUGAUGUUAGCGGCGGACGGGUGAGUAACACGUGGAUAACCUACCUAUAAGACUGGGUUAACUUCGGGAAACCGGAUCUAAUACCGGAUAAUAUUUUGAACCGCAUGGUUCAAAAGUGAAAGACGGUCUUGCUGUCACUUAUAGAUGUAUCCGCGCUGCAUUAGCUAGUUGGUAAGGUAACGGCUUACCAAGGCAACGAUGCAUAGCCGACCUGAGAGGAUGAUCGGCCACACUGGAACUGAGACACGGUCCAGACUCCUACGGGAGGCAGCAGUAGGGAAUCUUCCGCAAUGGGCGAAAGCCUGACGGAGCAACGCCGCGUGAGUGAUGAAGGUCUUCGGAUCGUAAAACUCUGUUAUUAGGGAAGAACAGAUGUGUAAGUAACUGUGCACAUCUUGACGGUACCUAAUCAGAAAGCCACGGCUAACUACGUG
rnacentral:rRNA from 1 species